rnacentral:rRNA from 1 species
UACGGAGGGUGCAAGCGUUAUCCGGAUUUACUGGGUUUAAAGGGUCCGUAGGCGGAUCUGUAAGUCAGUGGUGAAAUCUCCCCGCUCAACGGGGAAACUGCCAUUGAUACUGCAGAUCUUGAAUUAUUGGGAAGUAACUAGAAUAUGUAGUGUAGCGGUGAAAUGCUUAGAGAUUACAUGGAAUACCGAUUGCGAAGGCAGGUUACUACCAAUGGAUUGACGCUGAUGGACGAAAGCGUGGGUAGCGAACAGG